rnacentral:lncRNA from 1 species
UGCAGCUUGCAUUAUUCCAGUUAAUAAUUACCUUCAUCACAGUAGUUAUUAGAGGCCCCAACUGCUGCAGACUCGAUGCAUGUACAAGGCAGUCUCUGCCUGAGGAGCUUGAGGUCUAACUAGGCAAGGCAGAUAGUGGAAGUGUUAUCAGUUUUAUUUUUACAGAGAGCUUAAAUGACCUGCCGAAGGUCACACAGAGAAUCUUAGGCGAACUCAUGACUGGAAUACAGAUCUGCUAUGUUUUAUUCAAGCGUCUAACCCAGGUUCCUGGCUAAGGAGGGCGUUCGUGAGGAGGCUGUCUGUGCACAUAUGGGUCUGGGGGCAGUUCUGGGCCGCAUACUGGACUUGCAUGUGUUCUCCUGUUUGAAGCAUGUCUGUGAGGAGCUUCAGGUGCUGUAGCUAAUGCAUGGGUGGCGACAGCUUCUAUGCAAGCACAAGGUGCCUUAGCAGAUUCCCAGCCAUCUGGUGCCUCACCAGCUGCUCUUGGUGCAGGAUGAAACUUAUCUCAAUUCAGCGACCCAGGCCUCAGGCAGUGGGGUGGAAGGAGCAUCGCUGGCCUCACAGGUGCUGUCUGCAGGAUGCACACCCAGACUGGGUAAAAGCUCUGGAGGGACGGGGGGAGAAUGGAGGGAAUGGGUGAAAGGCAGCCUCUUGUUGACCCCUUAGAAAAUGUUGACCAUAGAGAAAUGCUGACCUGGAGCAGUGUGAGGGGGCCUGGGUAGACCCCAGGGCUGUCCCAGCCAGCAUUUGGUUGACAGAAGUGAAGACAUUCAUCCAAGGCUGCAGAGGAUGUGUGAAGGUGAGACCCCUCGUUGUAGUGCUGCAACCAGCCUGGUUUGCUUUGAGGCCGUUUCUACAGGGGAAGGGGAGCAGAGCCUGGUAGCGAUGGAACUGGCAGUGGUGCAGGGAAAGAAGGGAAGUCUGCCUUAGGGCAGCUCAGCAGCUACCUGCAGGCAGGGAAUGGAGAGACAGCUGUUGGAAAUGUGUGGGGUGAGAGGCCCCAAGGAGUCUGACUGCAAGGAAGGGAGCGUACGUUGAUGUCUUUGAGGCAUCUAGUUGAGCGUUUCCUAAUUUCAUUAAGUCUGAUUUUUAUAAUCCCCUUGGGGUUGGAGCAGCUGACUGGAACACUCUUCACUCCUGUCCCUUGAUCCCUCCAGUGCCUGUCUCCAGAAACAGUGGUGAUGCAGGACCAGGUGAGGGGGAAGCAGCAGGUUGGCCACGUGAGCUGACAGGGAGUGACCAGGUUCCAUCCUUCAUUUCCAGAGAGCUCCUCUGCUUUGCGUGUGCCACUUCAGACUGCUCGGAGCACCCUCCUCCUGCUUUUAUGCGUUUUCCAAUUAAAUUUCCUCCAUGAGGAGGAGAGAGGCACUCUGAAUCCAUUAGCAUUAGUAAUUAUGCAAACGCUUCGGGGAGUUGACUGCCCAUCAUUACAUAUAAUUAAUGUUUCUGGUUAUGAAUGGAGGGUUUGUUACUUUUUUCUCCUUUUUGUGCUGGAAUAAGGCGGGGUAGAGGUACAAGGGGGUGAUGCUACUGUAUUUAAUUUGCAUAAUCAGAAGGCCUGAUUGGGUAUGCAUGAGGGUAGGGGCCGGGAGGAACCUUCUCCAGUGCACACUCUGUUAAGCUGGUGGGAAAACUCAGGA